AUUAACAGGAUUAGAUACCCUGGUAGUCCACGCCGUAAACGAUGAUAACUAGCUGUCCGGGCACUUGGUGCUUGGGUGGCGCAGCUAACGCAUUAAGUUAUCCGCCUGGGGAGUACGGCCGCAAGGUUAAAACUCAAAUGAAUUGACGGGGGCCUGCACAAGCGGCGGAGCAUGUGGUUUAAUUCGAAGCAACGCGCAGAACCUUACCAGCGUUUGACAUGUCCGGACGAUUUCCAGAGAUGGAUCUCUUCCCUUCGGGGACUGGAACACAGGUGCUGCAUGGCUGUCGUCAGCUCGUGUCGUGAGAUGUUGGGUUAAGUCCCGCAACGAGCGCAACCCUCGCCUUUAGUUGCCAUCAUUUAGUUGGGCACUUUAAAGGAACCGCCGGUGAUAAGCCGGAGGAAGGUGGGGAUGACGUCAAGUCCUCAUGGCCCUUACGCGCUGGGCUACACACGUGCUACAAUGGCGGUGACAGUGGGCAGCAAACCAGCGAUGGUGAGCUAAUCUCCAAAAGCCGUCUCAGUUCGGAUUGUUCUCUGCAACUCGAGAGCAUGAAGGCGGAAUCGCUAGUAAUCGCGGAUCAGCAUGCCGCGGUGAAUACGUUCCCAGGCCUUGUACACACCGCCCGUCACACCAUGGGAGUUGGAUUCACCCGAAGGCGUUGCGCUAACUCAGCAAUGAGAGGCAGGCGACCACGGUGGGUUUAGCGACUGGGGUGAAGUCGUAACAAGGUAGCCGUA
rnacentral:rRNA from 1 species